UACGUAGGGGGCAAGCGUUGUCCGGAUUUACUGGGCGUAAAGCGCACGUAGGCGGAUAUUUAAGUCAGGGGUGAAAUCCCAGAGCUCAACUCUGGAACUGCCUUUGAUACUGGGUAUCUUGAGUAUGGAAGAGGUAAGUGGAAUUCCGAGUGUAGAGGUGAAAUUCGUAGAUAUUCGGAGGAACACCAGUGGCGAAGGCGGCUUACUGGUCCAUUACUGACGCUGAGGUGCGAAAGCGUGGGGAGCAAACAGG
rnacentral:rRNA from 1 species